GGAGUAUCGACCCUCUCUGUGCCGAAGCUAACGCUUUAAGUACCCCGCCUGGGGAGUACGGUCGCAAGACUAAAACUCAAAGGAAUUGACGGGGGCCCGCACAAGCAGCGGAGCGUGUGGUUUAAUUCGAUGCUACACGAAGAACCUCACCAGGGCUUGACAUGUUAGAAGUAGUGAACUGAAAGGGGAACG
rnacentral:rRNA from 1 species